UAUAUUUUCUUAUAAGGAAAAAUGCAACAUAAAAUUCAUGAUACCAAUUAAUCUUUUCUAAGGUUUAUAUUUACUUGACCCUUCGAUUUUUAUAUUUUUCAUAUAAAAUAUAGGAUGAAUUACAGUUUGCAUCCUUGUACUAUCGAAAAUGUCGCAUUUACCCCCUGUACUAUCAAAAUCUACAAAUACCCCCUGCUUUUAACAGUCAAUGAACAAACAUUUGACAGUGUUAACUUUUACUGUGCAAUUACUCUUCUACCCUCAUUUUUACACCUGAUGAGUGUCGAAAUUUCUCCAAGUCGUUUCAUUCUCUCACAACAACACACACUCACUCUCCGCCUCUCGUUUCGAAUGUUCAUAAGGCAAAAACUCUCACAAAAAUCUCCCUUUCUCUCUGAAUUUUCGCGAAAUUGGUUUGAAGAACUAUUGUACGAGUGCAUUCGAAGGACGCUUACUGUAGAAGAAGAAAAAAUGAAUGAUCAAUUGUUUACUCUUAAGAACCACCGAGGAGGGAGAUUCACUUGAUGGGUUUGACUAUAUUGGAGUUGAUGGUUCCAGAAAAAUAAGACAUAUAAUGUUUGGAUCUAAGACACGGUUGUUGAGAAUUUGAACCAUUAGAAGACAGUUUAGCAUGAAUUUAUUUUAAAGGAAACGAAGCUGGAAAAAAAAUAGGAAUUGAAGUUGAAUAAAAUGCAGACAGGGAGAAAAGAAAAUAGGAGAAAAACGAGAAAAAAAGAGGGAGAAACCAUAGAAAUAUUUGGAACUAAAAUCGAAUCAAAAAUCGGAAUUUUCGAUAAUUUUAUAUACCAUUCUAAUUUCGUUCUCCAGGGUUCAGCGGAGGGUGGUUCGUACUUUUCGCGAAGGAAAUCGAUCGGCAGAUGGACUUGCCGAAUGUGCACAUGCUCACAAAGAGAAGAAGCAAUUUAAAGAGACAAGCGAUCUCCCUCGCCAUAUUAGGUCACUAUUUCUUCAAGAUAGGAUCGGAAUUCCUCAGCUUCGUACAACUUCAAGAUGAAAAGGACUAGAUCCGGCAGGUGGAGUGGGGAUGAGAAAUUUCGAUAUUUGCACUUUCAGCCUAGGUGGGGUUCAUUUAGGAAGUUUCCUUUUCUAUUAUUCCAUUUUCACCCCAAGUUGGGGCUGUUGUGUAAUAUUCUAAAUAAAUGAAAAGUUUCGAUAUUUGCACUUUCAGCCUAGGUGGGGUUCAUUUAGGAAGCUUCAUUUUCUAUUAUUUCAUUUGCACCCCAAGUUGGGGCUGUUGGGUAAUAUUCUAAAUAGAGUUUCCUUUGAUUUUUAUUGCCAUUGUAGGGGUACUUUUUUU